GUGCUUACUUUUGCAGCACAUACACUAAAAUUGGAACAAUAUAGAGAGGAUUUGCAUGGUCCCUGUGUGAGGACAGUGCUCCAUAUUUUAAAAUGUUUUACAUGAUU
ensembl:snRNA U6 U6 spliceosomal RNA